GUUCUCCUGCCUGGCAGGGAUAUUUUCUCUGCUAAUUUUGUUGAAAACAAGGUUCCAUCUGAAGAUAUACUCCGCAUCAAAGAUGUCCCGACCUUCAUGGGGAGUUCAAACCACCUCUCAAAAGUUACAAGGGAGGAGAGCUGAGCUGGAGGAGGAAGAGGAGCGUGAGAGUAAAAGAACGGACGUCCAGACUUAUUCUAAAGGGACUAUUAAAGGAAACGCCUUCGACAAUGACAAGAACAAGUUUGCAGUGUUCCACAUGGGUUCAUCCACAUCAGAGCCGGAGCUGAAUCCUCGCUCUACAUCCAUCCCAGCCGUUUCAUUGGACUUCACUCGUUGUGCCCCGUGGCUCUCCGCUUCACAAGACACAUCCCCGCAUCCGAAUCCACUUUGCUUAUGACAAACAUAAUCCCAAACGUAUUGGAUUUCAAAAGAAAAGCAAGAAAGAACACAAGAUUGGUGGCGAUCCAAAAGAUGUUUUAAAAAAGGAGGGAGCUCAGGUAUCAUUCAUACAAAGUAGGUUUUAUGGAUAUAAAAAGCUUCUUUCUGAUUCCAUAAGUCGAGCUGCUGAUGUAUUGUAUAACAUAAUGUUACACACAUUCUGGGCUCAGGGUAUUGUUUUUCCCAGGCUUUGAAGAUGGUAGUUUAUCUUAAAAUCUAUCCUCCUGUUCUUCCUCUUUCAUAACUGUUCAA